GGCCCAUGGCAGCCUAUUAGGCUUCUGCCACCCACUGCCAUCUCUGGGUUGUGGACCUUUUGGAGAUGCCCAAAACCAGCUGCCAGUCCCCUCCUCCCUCAGAGCCCAGCACAGAGUUCCCUCCUUUCACCUUGAAAUUGGAGGAGGCAUAUCUUCUGGGACCACACAGGAACCAAGGGGAAGAGAGAAGUUUCCGGGCCCAGAUCUGGGUGGAGAAAGAAGAGAGGGGGUGAGUGGGGCACAGCAGGGGCCCUCGCAGCCCGCUCGCCACCUCCUGUACUUGGAGGUCCCACUGGCCUGCCUGCUCUGCCCCAGUCCCAGUCCACUCUAGACAGGGGCAUGUGGUCCUGAAGGAGGACAAGUCCCCUCCCUGCCCCAAGGAGGGCUCCCUAGAGAGAGCAGAGUCUGUUCCAGCCCCCUCUUCCUUGCUGGGGCAAAGUCAAACGCAAGCGCCUCCCACCCCAGAGACCUUUGGUCCAGCCUGGAGAGCAGCUCAGACAAGAUGACGACCAGGGAGGGCACACAGCCAUGUCGGGAGCCAGCUGGGGCACGAGGUUGUGGGAGACAGAGGGGCCCGGCCCGUCCUGCCCUGUGAGCUGGGUAAGCUGGCACUGAUUCUGGAGGAUGGACGUGAAUGGCCGUGUCACUGGUCGCUAGGAUAUCUCUGUCUUCACCGGAACCCAGGAAUGUCCCAUCAUGAGUUCAGGACUCUUCCAUGACACCCGAACUGUGCCAUAAUGAGACUGGCCACCUCAGUCCCAAGUGUACCUGUCAAAGCCCAGGACUGUCCCACUACAGCCCAGGAGUGUCACCACCAAAGGCCAGAUUGCCCACAUAUCCCAGAUAUCCCAGGACUAUCCCCAUCAGUGACUAACAGCUGAAGAAAGUGAAAUUUUGCCCUGACAUUCAUCAGCUGGGAUAAGAGACUCAAGUAAAGUUAGGUGCAAAGUUAACAAAGAGACAGUUCUCCCAAGGUUACAUACAGCACAGCUGUGAAGGCUUCUAACCACCACUCCGUUCUUUAGCUGUUUCCUUCCUCACUGAGAAACAUUGUUCUCUGAAAUCACAGACUCUGGGAAACGCUGCUGCUGUUUGACAUCGCCCAGUCAGAAGGGAACAUCUCAGCUGGCCUGCAGCAUUUAUAUGUCAUUUUAACCAUGAGACGCUGCCUCGACUUCCAAUCCAGGUGCAGGGCUUCAAGUUUGGGAAGCACAACAAUCCCCAUCUCCAUUUUAUUUACCUUUCUUUAGAAGAAAAUAGGACCCUGGAUCCAAUUCCCAGAGCUGAGACAUGAGGUGGAACUCUGCCCUCACCGGCCCCUGGCCCUGGAGGUCUGGGCCCCUUAAUUCCAGCGCCCCCACAGGCUGAUGCCCCACCGCACCCCAGGACUCCACUCUCCAAAUCACAACUUUCCCACCCCGACGCCUCCCUCCUCACAGGAUCCCCCUCCAUGUUUCCCAUUUUUUACCUCCCCAACAAUCACUUGCCCCACCUCAUCCGCGUCUACCCGCUCCCCCUCACCCCAUUAAAGCCUCGUGCUCCUUUC